GACGAACGCUGGCGGCGUGCUUAACACAUGCAAGUCGAACGGAAAGGCCCUUCGGGGUACCCGAGUGGCGAAUGGGUGAGUAACACGUGGGUGAUCUGUCCUGCACUUUGGGAUAAGCCUGGGCAACUGGGUCUAAUACUGAAUAGGACCACGCGCUUUCUGGUGUGUGGGGGAAAGCUUUUGCGGUGCGGGAUGGGACCGCGGCCGAUUAGCUUGUUGGUGUGGUAAAGGCCUACCAAGGCGACGAUGAGUAGCCGACCUGGUCUGAUGACCGGCCACGCUGCGCCUGGGAUGCGGCCCAGACUCCAACGGGACGCAGCAGUGGGGAAGGGUGCACUGGGGGCGCAAGCCUGAUGCGGCGACGCCGCGUGGGGUAUGUCGUCCAGCGGUUUGUGUUGCUCAUUCAUUAUGGACGGGGCGCUGGUGACAGUACCUAUAGAAUAAGCACCGGCCAACUACGUG
rnacentral:rRNA from 1 species